rnacentral:rRNA from 1 species
AGUGAACGCUGGCGGUAGGCCUAACACAUGCAAGUCGAACGGCAGCACAGUAAGAGCUUGCUCUUACGGGUGGCGAGUGGCGGACGGGUGAGGAAUACAUCGGAAUCUACUUUUUCGUGGGGGAUAACGUAGGGAAACUUACGCUAAUACCGCAUACGACCUACGGGUGAAAGCAGGGGAUCUUCGGACCUUGCGCGAUUGAAUGAGCCGAUGUCGGAUUAGCUAGUUGGCGGGGUAAAGGCCCACCUAGGCGACGAUCCGUAGCUGGUCUGAGAGGAUGGUCGGCCACACUGGAACUGAGACACGGUCCAGACUCCUACGGGAGGCAGCAGUGGGGAAUAUUGGACAAUGGGCGCAAGCCUGAUCCAGCCAUACCGCGUGGGUGAAGAAGGCCUUCGGGUUGUAAAGCCCUUUUGUUGGGAAAGAAAAGCAGCAGGUUAAUACCCCGCUGUUCUGACGGUACCCAAAGAAUAAGCACCGGCUAACUUCGUG